AUUGGACAACCAUGGCUUUCACGGGUAACGGAGGAUUAGGGUUCGAUUCCGGAGAGGGAGCCUGAGAAACGGCUACCACAUCUAAGGAAGGCAGCAGGCGCGUAAAUUACCCAAUCCUGACUCUGGGAGGUAGUGACAAGAAAUAACGGACCGAGGCCUACGGGCUUCGGGAUUGCAAUGAGCCGAAUUUACACCCCUUAGCGAGGAUCAAUUGGAGGGCAAGUCUGGUGCCAGCAGCCGCGGUAAUUCCAGCUCCAAUAGCGUAUAUUAAAGUUGUUGCAGUUAAAAAGCUCGUAGUUGGAUUUCUGGUAGGAUUUCGAAGCCCGCUUGUUGCGUGUGCUGAGAGACCCUAUCAUCCUUCUGUUAACUCUUCGCGUCAUUUAUUUGUCGGUUGAGGGCUCAGAUAUUUUACCUUGAGAAAAUUAGAGUGUUUCAGGCAGGCUCGCGCCGGAAUACAUUAGCAUGGAAUAAUGGAAUAGGACUUUAGCCUCUUCUGUUGGUCUGAGGGGUUGAAGUAAUGAUUAAUAGGGAUAGUUGGGGGCAUUAGUACUUAACUGUCAGAGGUGAAAUUCUCGGAUUUGUUAAAGACUAACUUAUGCGAAAGCAUUUGCCAAGGAUGUUUUCA
rnacentral:rRNA from 1 species